rnacentral:rRNA from 1 species
UACGGAGGGUGCAAACGUUGCUCGGAAUCAUUGGGCGUAAAGCGCACGUAGGCGGACCGCUAAGUCGGAUGUGAAAGCCCUCGGCUUAACCGAGGAAGUGCAUUCGAAACUGACGGUCUUGAGUAUGGAAGAGGGUCGCGGAAUUCCCGGUGUAGAGGUGAAAUUCGUAGAUAUCGGGAGGAACACCAGUGGCGAAGGCGGCGACCUGGGCCAAUACUGACGCUGAGACGCGAAAGCGUGGGGAGCGAACAGG